rnacentral:rRNA from 1 species
AGCGAACGUUAGCGGCGCGCCUAACACAUGCAAGUCGCACGAGAAAGGGCUUCGGCCCCGGUACAGUGGCGCACGGGUGAGUAACACGUGGGUAACCUUCCCCAGAGUGGUGGAUAACCUGCCGAAAGGCGGGCUAAUACAGCAUACGACCGGUUGUCUUCGGGCGAUUGGUGAAAGCAGGCCUCUGUAUACAAGCUUGCGCUCUAGGAUGGGCCCGCGUCCCAUCAGCUAGUUGGUGAGGUAACGGCUCACCAAAGCUACGACGGGUAGCUGGUCUGAGAGGAUGGCCAGCCACACUGGAACUGAGACACGGUCCAGACUCCUACGGGAGGCAGCAGUGGGGAAUCUUGCGCAAUGGACGAAAGUCUGACGCAGCGACGCCGCGUGGGCGACGAGGGCCUUCGGGUUGUAAAGCCCUGUGGGGCGGGACGAACACACUCUAUUCGAACAGGGUAGGGUGCUGACGGUACCGCCUUAGCAAGCACCGGCUAACUCUGUGCCAGCCGCCGCCGUAAGAC